UCGAGAAUUUUUCUCAAUGGGGGAAACCCUGAAGGAGCGACGCCGCGUGGAGGAUGAAGGUCUUCGGAUUGUAAACUCCUGUCAUUGGUGAACAAAGCCCUCGGAGUAACUGCCGUUGGGUUUGAUAGUAGCCGAAGAGGAAGGGACGGCUAACUCUGUGCCAGCAGCCGCGGUAAUACAGAGGUCCCAAGCGUUGUUCGGAUUCAUUGGGCGUAAAGGGUGCGUAGGCGGCGAGGCAAGUCUGGUGUGAAAUCCCGGGGCUCAACCCCGGAACUGCACUGGAUACUGCCUUGCUAGAGUACUGGAGAGGGAACUGGAAUUUACGGUGUAGCAGUGAAAUGCGUAGAGAUCGUAAGGAAGACCAGUGGCGAAGGCGAGUUCCUGGACAGUUACUGACGCUGAGGCACGAAGGCCAGGGGAGCAAACG
rnacentral:rRNA from 1 species